GAGGAGGAGGAGGAGGAGGAGGCCCGGCUGACCUUUUCCCAAUCAAAUAUAUUGAAGUUCAGUAGGACUGAAAUUAUAUAAUUUAAACUUUAUUAUUUAAUAAUAAUAUGCGAUUUAAGAUAAACAAACAUAACAAAGACGUUCUUUAUUAAACCCUCCCCUUCCUUCUCCCUAAACCUCUCUCCUCUCUCUCUCUCUCUCUCUCUCUCUCUUUGCCAUCACAGAAAGGUCCAACUGAGCUUGCCGGCAAUUCUUCUCCUCCUCUUUUCUGUCUUUCUUAUUCAUUCAAAUUGAGUUGCUUUUCCAUUCAAUUCGCACACUUUAAAUUUAUUUUUGCUGGGUUUUUUUUCUUCUUUUGUACGGAAAAAACCUUUUUCCGAAUUGUAACAAUUAUGUAUGCAUGUAUGUGUUUAUAUUUGGAUCAUUGUUUUGAAUUUUGUGUGUACAAUUAUACACAGCUUAUGUUUUUCUGUAUUUAGAGAGCUGCUGUGUUUUUGUUUUUGUUUGCCUGUUAUGUGAAUUCUGAGAAUGAUUUAAUUUCAGUGUGAGUUUUGGGUUUUGGAAUUGAAUUUGAUGAUGGUGAUUGAUGAGAGAGUUUGAUCAAGUUUAAAUUAAUAGCUUAAUUGUGAUUACUGUUUGAAAAAAAAAACUCUGUUUUUGUUCUUGGGCGAGAUGAUGAUGGAAGACUCAUGUAUGAAAUUUAUAUGAAUUUGUUAAACCCUAAAUUUUAUUUGGUUUUGUUUCUCUUAUGAGUUUAAAGAUUGAAACCCCGGUUAAGAAUGUGCUUGCACGCGGUUGAUGUUGCUUGAGACUUUCAUAAGAGCAGCUAAGGUGGUGUAAACGAAAGAAGCACUGGUAAGGCGGUGUAAACGAAAAUAUAGGUGUUGCUCAAGACUUUUGUGUUUUAAGUGUUAAGGAAUAGGUAAAAGUCUUGAAUUUGAGGAACUUUUCUAUUUAGUUUUAGAUGACAUUGAAUAGGUAUACAAAGCCCGUACUUAUACAUAUACAUACAUACAUAUAUAUAUGAAUAAGUAUAUUUAAUAUAGUGUACGCACAAAAUAGUGAUCCUCAGAUAUACAAAUAUACAAUCGUUGCAUUGACGGUUAUCUUGGAUAUUUUCCGUACUCUGUGCUCUCUAGACCAGUAACCUCUCAAUUCGUCAGAAAUAAUUUGGUUUAUUAUUUGGUCUUUUCAUGCAUUUUCAUUCACUGUCAGGUUUAGAUCAAUUUCCUUGCUUCGAUUCUAUUUUACUGCAACUGUGAUGCUUCUCGUAACCUAUAAUACUUUUGUUUUGUUCUCUUCUGCCUUGUGUUAACUUUAUGCACAGUUUUGUUUGUCACUCGAAAAAUUUGUAAUCUGGGACUUAACGUGAACUUAUUAUGCACAUUGUAGUUCAUCUACUAUGAUAUUCUAUGUUAUACCUCUGUUUUCUCACUAUGCCUGUACUUGAGCUGGGAGCCUGGGAUGGUAAUUUUUGCUGUCCUCUCUAUGUCUGACUAAUGUAAACAACUGAAUAAAAAAAAUACAAUUUGACUGGUUGCAGGUACAGUUUGGUGGUUGUGAUGGAUUUUAAAAAACUCAAAAGUAUGAAUUGGGUUGGAAACAUUUACCAGAAAUUUGAAGCAAUCCGCCAGGAGGCGGAUGGUAUUGUGAAUCAGGACUCAAUUAAAUAUGUUGAAAACCAGGUGCAGACUGUGGGUAAAAGUGUGAAGAAAUUUUCUAAUACUGUCCAAGAUUUACUUCCUAUGAUUAGACAGAAAUCUGCCAUUAGUGUUAAGUCAAGGGAAAAUAUAAAGGAAAAUUCUUUGGAUGUAACUGCAAACCAAUCACCUGGAGAGCCCAAUGUAAAGGAUCCUGUGAGAAACCAGCUGAGUCUGGUCUCUACGGAAAAUGACCUUCCAGACCAACCUAAUCCUCCAACAAUGAAUACUCUUGAGGGGUCGGAAUUAUCUGUGGGAAAGAUCGAUGAAGUUUUGGCAAAUGAGAAGUCUUUAGUUGCAAUUGAAAAGCAAUCUCCUACAGAGCCCAAUGUAAAGACUCCAGUGAAAAACCAGCUGACUCUUGUCUCUAGUAAAUAUCACCUUGCCGAUCAACCUAGUUCUCCAACUUUAAUAGAUACUGUUGAGGUGACAAAGUCUGACUUAUCUGUGGGAAAGGUUGAUGAAGUUUUGACAAGUGAAGGUCUUGUAGAUGCGAUGGAAAAUAAAUCACCUACAAAUCUCAACGCAAUGGAUCGUGGGACAAACCAGUUGGGUGUUGUCUCUAGUAAGUAUCACCUUCCAGAUCAACCUAGUUCUCCAACUUCAAUGGAUACUCUUAAGGUGUCAGAGUCCGACUUAUCUGUGGGAAACAUUGAAAACUCAUUAGAUUCAACAGAAAAGCAAUCGCCUAUGGAGCCCAAUGUAAUGGAUCAUGUGACUGAACAGCUGAGUCUUGUUGGCAGGAAAUAUUACCUUGCAGAUCAAUCUAGUUCUCCUGCUGCAGUGGAUACUCUUGAGGUCUUAGAGUCUGAGUUAUCUGUGGAAAAUACUGAUGAAGUUUGGACAAAUGAAAAUUCUUUAGAUGCAACUGAAAACCAAACACCUACACACCCCAGUGUAAUUGAUCCACACCAGCCGAGUCUUAUCUUCAGUAAAUAUAACCUUGCAGGUCAACCUAGUUCUCCAGCUUCCUUGAAUACCCCUGAGGUAUCAGAGUCUGACUUGUCGGUUCCAGAAUUUGAUGACAUUUCUACCAAUAAAGACUCGGAAGCAAACAAUGAAGAAACUGCCAUAAAAGUGUCUGCACCUAUAUUAGAGGAGUUAACUUCUUCUUUUGUGGCAGAACAUUUUGUAGUGUCCCCACACGGGGUAUUUUCUCAUAGCAAUCAUAAAAAUAGACAUACUGAUUUGCCUGAGGUUGCACCUGCAAGCUCUGCAUAUGGAUUGGAGUCCGAACAAAAAUUGAAUGUUUGUGAUAACACUUUGGAUGAAACUGAGUGUGUAUCUGGUGCUUCAAGUACUACUACUGAAAUUGCCUUUUCAGUUGUAUCUGGGGAGAACGCUAUUGAGAAUGUGGAACUUGCAUCCUUCAUCAGCUCCACUGCAAAGAAAUCACCUUGGCUCUCUGGGUAUUCUCCUGAAAACUUAUCCCUGGAAGCUGGUGAGGUGGUUGGGUGUGUAUCUAAUGAUUCUACUGGGCACCCAUCAUCUGCUUCAUCUCUAUCUGUGUCUGGUGAGAAUAAGGACAUUGAUAUGGGGCAAUCUUGUUUCAGCAGUGUCAUAUCACCUGAAUCAGUAGCAGAAGGCACUUCCAGAACUGCAGAGUUCAUGCCUCUGACAGUACCAUCUAGAAAGAAGCAAGUUGAAAUAUGCGACUCUGUUCAGUAUGAUGCUCUUAAGCCGUCUUUAGAUAUUGGAAGUUCAGAUGAAUCAAGUAGUGAUUUUUCUCGCUCUUCUAUGGAAACCAUCGAUUUGCAUGAUAAGGUAAAGCUGGAGGAGAGGAGUGUUGAUUUCCAUGAUAAGGUACAGCUGGAGGAGAGCUGUGUCAUUGUAGAUGAUAGCGUAUUGCACGCUGUCUCUAGCAGGGCAAGAAAACAAAGAUCAUACAAGAAAAGAAUCCAGGAUGCUUUUACAUCAAAGAAGAGGUUGGCAAAGGAGUACAAACAGCUAGCAAUUUGGUUCGGAGACAGUCAUAUAGAAACCAGCCAACAAACACUAUCUAACGUGAAAAGUUCGGAAACUGAUGAUGCCUGUGAUUCUGACUGGGAGCUGCUGUAAAUAACAUGUCCCUGUAAAUAUUUCAACGGAGUGGUUAAAGGGCCGCUUGCCUUUGCAGGUAAAUAUGGAACCCCAGGUAGGCACCAGUGAAUGCAGUCGGCGAAUUUUUUAGGAUCCGAUCUUUGUUUCUUCGUCAAGAGCUUUCCCCGACGUUCUCCAUAAACCGAUGUGUGUGCAUCUUUCCGGUACUCUGACAAUUGGGUGAUAUUCAAAAAUGUUACCUUCGCUUUCAGAUCCUGCAUUUGGUCGUGUAUAAUAUCCAUGAUUUCCAUGUUUGAACCAGUUCCCCAGUAUGAACCCUCAAUCGGGUAUGACUCAUUGAAGCAGUUUUCGUCACUUCCCGGCUUCCAUUCCCAACUCCUACAAAAGAAAUUUCUGUCAAGUUUCCAUGAUUACGAAUAAAACUCUAAAUCGUGUAUGCCAGAUUCAUGACACGUGUUGUUAUAUAUAGCAAGGGGCUUUGUGGGACCACCUAUAAACUCGAGAUCCUGUGUUUGACUCUCUCUUUUCCUAAUAUUGCUUCGUAUUGAAAAAA